rnacentral:ncRNA from 1 species
GAUUAUUGAGGACAGAACAGGCAUCUGUCGCCCUUGUGGAGAUGUAGGACACGCCGCCCUACCAAUAAUC